rnacentral:lncRNA from 1 species
CCGCAACUCCUAGAAAUGAGGAAAGGACCUCGCUUCACGAGCCUAUCGUGGGACCUUACUAUUUCCCACAAAAAUAGUCAUAACUUUUUGCUCGGGUAUCGGAUAAAGGCAAAAUUGGUAUCAUUGAAAAGAUAAUUCAAUUAUAUACAACUUGGUGGGUAUUGAGUUGAAAAAUUCCACCUAUAUAAAAAUUUAUGCACAUUCAAAGUAGACCCUUGUAGAAU